rnacentral:tRNA from 1 species
GGCUGGAAAGAUGGCUCAGCGGUUAAGAGCACUGACUGCUCUUCCAGAGGUCCUGAGUUUGAUUCCCAGCAGCCA